rnacentral:rRNA from 1 species
GACAGAGGAUGCAAGCGUUAUCCGGAAUGAUUGGGCGUAAAGCGUCUGUAGGUGGCUUUUUAAGUCCGCCGUCAAAUCCCAGGGCUCAACCCUGGACAGGCGGUGGAAACUACCAAGCUGGAGUACGGUAGGGGAGACUGGAAUUCCUGGUGUAGCGGUGAAAUGCGCAGAUAUCAGGAGGAACACCGGUGGCGAAGGCGGGUCUCUGGGCCGAUACUGACGCUGAGGAGCGAAAGCGUGGGGAGCGAACAGG